rnacentral:rRNA from 1 species
CAGCUGCAACUCGACUGCACGAAGCUGGAAUCGCAGUAAUCNCGGAUCAGCACGCCGCGGUGAAUACGUUCCCGGGCCUUGUACACACCGCCCGUCACACCAUGGAAGUCUGCAAUGCCCGAAGCCGGUGGCCUAACCACUUAUGUGGAAGGAGCCGUCUAAGGCAGGGCAGAUGACUGGGGUGAAGUCGUAACAAGGUACC